UGUAACCAUGUCAGCAAAUUACUGCCGUCUGGACACACAAAUCAGAUUUGGUAGCCCUUUAUGCACAUUCCAUGAUCGAAUGUUCUAAACACACUUCCUACUGGCGUGGCAAUUUCCGGUGGCGCAUACUAUAGAACGGAAGUCAGUCUAGUUAUCGACGUUACUACCACUAUGUCACAGUUUUUUACUAUGUGUCUUCAGGACUUGCCUCAAAUUAAUAUUAAUUAUGUACAUCGAAUUGUUAAAUCAGCCUCAGACUCCAGCUAGCAAGAAUGAAAAGGGGUUCAAGAUGUAUAUAGGAAGCUACAUAGACAACUAUGAAGAUGGUGUUAAAGCACUCCGUACCAGUGAUAGUGGUCCAUAGCCACUGCUCCUGUGUUGCAGGAAGUUUUAUGUGCAAUCAUCUGGUGGCCCUUCUUUACCAGACAGCGCACUACUCUCAACUAAACAUUCCUGCUGCACCAUCAGUUUAUAGCUGCACAGACACAGAACAGUGUUGGCACAAGCCAAUAUUCAUAAAAAAUGCAGUUGAAAAGUAUUCAGCCUAUGUAACAGUAAAUCCUUGUUAAUUAGGGUGGGAAGCUAGGUCCGGUUGAUGGGAUAGUGUUCUGUAAACCUACUAACUCAUGUGCUGAAGGAAUAAGGUAAGUUGGAGGUUACUAGAAUGGAAACAUUUUAGAAAACUUUUUUUUUUUUUGUAUCUAGAUGAUAAGCCUAAACAGUGGCAUCUUUAUGAUGUAAUGACAAAUGUUUGGGACAAAGACUGGGGGGAAAUAUAUAAUCUGUAUAUUUUAAUCCAUUUUAUUUGAACUUUGGGCUUGUGCUGUUUCUGGAAAAGUUACAUGAGUCUUUGUCAUAGUAAUAUCUCCAACCUGAUGUUAAAGUUUAAAAAUGUUUUGCAAAAGUUCUCUACAAAGCACUCAAUGGAUACAUGCCUGACAUGGACCUUCUCAGAAACGUAUUCCAACUUUUCUCCACUUACUGCCCCUCUUGUGACAACAAUGGAAAUGUCAGCUGGCCUUUGGGCCAGUGCAAGCUGGCAGUGUGCUAUCCUGUCAACUUCCACAACCAAAGACCCAUGAAACUGAAGAUUGCCGAUGCCCCUUCUCCACCAAUACUUCCAUUAGAUGGCUACAGGCUUCAGUCUUCCCAGUGUGCUUACGUCCUUAUCCAUCAGAAGCAGUUCCACGUCAAAGCAUUAGAGACAACCUACGAGAUGUCACACAAAGUCAAGGUUGCUACAAGGGAGCAGAGCAGCAGGGCAUCAGCUCAGGAAAAUGAGAAUAACAUCCUCUUGUUUCCGAGAGGUUUGCCAUGACCGGGGAGAGACCACAGCUGACCUAGCUGAGCGGAUGUUCAAGUGAUCUGGUAUGCAGACCGUGGAGAUGAAGGGGGCUAGCCAUGGAGCCAGUGGCUGUACAGGAGUACUGCACACUGAAGAAUGUUAACAUCUUUCCGUGUGGCUACGUAGUGCACCGAGAUGCUCCGUGGUUAGGAUCCUCUCCAGAGGGCAUCAUAUUUGAUCCCAGUGUGAGACUACACUUUGGACUCUUUGAGGUCAAGUGCCCAAAUGUACCAAGUUAUGUUGAGUGCCCUUACCUGAAGAUAUAGAAUGGAGAGCUGAAUUUGAAGAGAUCUCAUGCUUACUACUGGCAGGUGUAAGGUCAAAUCCUUCCCACAGGUUGUAGCUGGUGUGACUUUGUCAGCUGUGCACAGGAGGACAUCCUAGUUGAAAGGAUGUAUAAAGAUCUACAGGUUUCAAAAACUAUUAAGAGAGAAGGUUGACCACUUUUACUUGCAGAAGUGUCUCUCGCACCUGAAUGGAUCCCCUGCAUGGGUUUCAUGAAAAAUAAGUAUUGAUGUUCUUGUGAAAACUACAGUAGAAUAGAUUUGUUUAAAAUAAAUCUAUUUCAGCAAAUGUUCAACUGUUCAGUUAAUCAAUUACACAUCUCUAACAUUGUAUUCAAUCUUGCAUUCUGGCUGUACUGUGUUUACUUAAUUUCUUUCCCCCACCCCUGUCACUCAUUGCCUAAUUAAAGCCAAUACAAGCUCCACACAAACUGAUAUUCACUACCACACAAAUGAUUGAUACAUGUCGUAGAUAAACAAAUUAUUAUUUUGCUGCUAGAAAAUAAACACAUGUACAUUUACACUGGCUUGGCCCAUGCUCUGACCAAAGGUCCGAUUUGAUAGUUGACCAACAGGCAUGCCACUGCAAAUAAAUGGCUGAUGCUGCCUGAGAUGGUGCUUGUGUUCCUUUACUCUGCAGAUCAUUCUUUCAACAUGCACUCUCAGCCUGGCAAUGGAUUGGGUCUCCCUAACCUCAUGCGCUGGCAUCUGUGUGCGUCUUGACAGAAAGGCUGGCUGGUAGACCUUGCACUGAACAAUGUCAUCUACGAGGAAGCCCUCCACUAUAAUGGCCAUGUCAGGGAGGACCUGAGCCCUAGGACCAUGCCUCAGGACUACCUGGCAUGAUGACUCCUUGCUGUCCCCAGUCCACCUGGCCGUGCUGACCUGUUGCACCCUCGACAACCACUGUGAUUACUAUUAUUUGACAAUGCUGGUCAUUUAUGAACAUUUGAACAUCUUGGCCAUGUUCUGUUAUAAUCUCCACCUGGCACAGCCAGAAGAGGACUGGCAUCCCUCAUAGCCUGGUUCCUCUCUAGGUUUCUUCCUAGGUUCUGGCCUUUCUAGGGAGUUUUUCCUAGCCACCAUGCUUCUACACCUGCAUUGCUUGCUGUUUGGGGUUUUAGGUUGGGUUUCUGUACAGCACUUUGAGAUAUCAGCUGAUGUAAGAAGGGCGAAAUAAAUUUGAUUUGAUUUGAAUCAGUUUGGUGCCUUAUUUAAUUAAGACCUAUAUCCACAGUUCUGGCAUGACAGAGAUGCAACUUCGCUACUGAAGAAGAAAACAAAAAUUAGUGCCAGACAGAAACAACAACCGAUAAGCUUCUGACACUCUGCAUUACGCAUUGGGAGCAUCAUAUCAAUAUUCAGAAACCUCCAUGCAUUGAUUGAACAAUAAAUAAAACAAUGAAAGGGAUUGAACUGACACUAUGGAAACCAUAUAUUUUUUAUACUUUUUGUUCCAGUUUAGUGUACUCUGUGGUCUUGGGUCGGCAUCCCGAUCUCAACCUCUUUCCCUC